rnacentral:misc_RNA from 1 species
GAGAUUGGUAUUGGUACUCCCCCUCAGAAGUUUACCGUUGUUUUUGACACUGGUAGUUCAAAUUUGUGGGUUCCAUCAUCCAAGUGCUUCUCUGUUGCUUGUCUACUCCAUUCCAAGUACAAGUCAAAGCGUUCAAGUACUUAUAAAAAGAAUGGUAAACCUGCUUCGAUCAAGUAUGGGACUGGUGCUAUUUCUGGCUACUUUAGUGAAGACAAUGUUCAAGUUGGUGACCUUAUAGUUAAGAAACAGGAUUUUAUUGAGGCAACUAGGGAACCCAGCCUCACGUUUGUACUUG